rnacentral:rRNA from 1 species
UACGGAGGGUGCAAGCGUUAUCCGGAUUCACUGGGCGUAAAGCGUGCGCAGGCGGUUCGUUGUGUCGGCGGGGAAAUCCCCGGGCUCAACCUGGGAACUGCGUUUGUGACUGUAUGACUAGAGUACGGUAGAGAGGGGUGGAAUUCCUGGUGUAGCAGUGAAAUGCGUAGAUAUCAGGAGGAACAUCGAUGGCGAAGGCAGCCCCUUGGACCUGUACUGACGCUCAUGCACGAAAGCGUGGGGAGCAAACAGG